rnacentral:rRNA from 1 species
GACGAACGCUGGCGGCGUGCUUAACACAUGCAAGUCGAGCGGAAAGGCCCUUUCGGGGGUACUCGAGCGGCGAACGGGUGAGUAACACGUGAGUAAUCUGCCCUGUGCUUUGGGAUAGCCACCAGAAACGGUGAUUAAUACCGGAUAUGCCCAACCUACGCAUGUGGUGUUGGUGGAAAGUUUUUCGGCGCAGGAUGUGCUCGCGGCCUAUCAGCUUGUUGGUGGGGUAAUGGCCUACCAAGGCUUCGACGGGUAGCCGGCCUGAGAGGGUGACCGGCCACACUGGGACUGAGACACGGCCCAGACUCCUACGGGAGGCAGCAGUGGGGAAUAUUGGACAAUGGGCGGAAGCCUGAUCCAGCAACGCCGCGUGAGGGAUGACGGCCUUCGGGUUGUAAACCUCUUUCAGCACCGACGAAGCGAGAGUGACGGUAGGUGCAGAAGAAGGACCGGCCAACUACGUGCCAGCCGCCGCCGAAGAC